AAGACUUUAUGAUUUGGGCAUUGGGCCAAUUUUCCAUUAAACCAUUCCCAUGCUUCAAACAAUGACUCUCUAUUCAUUUGCUGAAAAUUUAUAAUCUCGUCCCGCUUUU
rnacentral:snoRNA from 1 species